AUUAAGUGAGCUGAUCUCUAUUUGUUUAGAACCCAAUUAAUUAUGUGGCAAUAUAUAUACAAAAAUAAAUAUCAGAGGCUACAUACCUACCGCACUUUAAUAUAUCUAAUUUCCCAACAACCCAGUCUAAGCUGAAAUAAUUAUAUAAUUAAAAAUUCUAUCUUUAUAAUUAUCCAAAUAUAUAAAGGAUAAGCUUUAUAUAAUAUCCCUUAUAAUAAAAAAAUAUAUAUACAAGUAGGCCUAAAAUCAGCCAUCCACAACUACGUUAUAGUAAUUCCUUAAUAAAAAUUCCACUCAAAUAAAUAACACUGGGAUAUCUACUAAAACCUUUAAGCAAACUACUUAUGCAAAGAUCAAUAUUAUUAAACACCAAAACAUAUUCAUCAACUAUAUUUAAUAAAGGAACUCGGCAAAUACAAAUUUCGACUGUUUAACAAAAACAUUGCCUAAUGUUUAAAACCCAUACUAGGUUCAUCCUGCCCAGUGAUAUUAUUCAACGGCCGCGGUAUCCUGACCGUGCAAAGGUAGCAUAAUCAUUUGCCCUUUAAUUAAGGGCUAGAAUGAAUGGACAAACGAAAAUUUCCCUGUCUCUAUUAAAACCCUAUAACUUAACCUUUAGGUGAAGAGGCCUAAAUAAAUAUAUAAGACAAGAAGACCCUGUCGAGCUUUAUCAUCCACCUAACUACAAUAAAAAAUAUACUCAAGACAAAGAUUUUGUUGGGGCGACAAAGGAAUAAACUAAAACUCCUAAAAACUUAAGAUAUCACUUCUAUCUAACGACCCAUAUUUUAUGAUCACAGAAACUAGCUACCGCAGGGAUAACAGUCUAAUUUUCCCCAAGAGCCCAAAUCUAAUGGAAAGAUUAGCACCUCGAUGUUGGCUUAGGGAUUCUUCUAAGUGCAGCCACUUAAAAAGAAGGUUUGUUCAACCUUUAACCCCUACAUGAG
rnacentral:rRNA from 1 species